UUAUUAAUUUGUAAAUGGCUCCUCGUUUGGAGGAUUAAAUACAGCUUUCUUGUUAAAGCAAUCUAUGGUGGCGUGAUAUGCUGCUAGCCAAUCCAUUCCUAAGAUUACAUCAAAAUUCUCCGUGUCUAAUCCUAUCAGGUCUACCCUCAGUUUCCUAUUUGCUAUCUCCACGGCACAAGCCCUAUAGAUAGCUUCCCCUAGUAGUGUUUCACCCCCGGCAGUAGACACAAACAACAAUGAUUCAAGUUUAUCAGGUGAUACAUUAAUUUUGGAAGCAAAAACAUGUGAAACAUAGGAGUGCGAUGCACCAGUGUCAAAUAAAACAUGAGCAAUGUGGUCACAGAUAGUAUACAUACCCUAUACUACAUCCGGGUCAGCGUCGGCAUCCUGCUGGGUAAGGUUGUAAGCUCUGCCCUAGAUAGGAGGCCUCCCUUGAUUCUUGUUCCUCGGGCAUUCUCUGACAUAAUGCUGGGCACUGCCACAAAUGCGACAAGUAAAUAAAUAUAUUGCAAAUAAAGGAAGCCACUUGUCCAUUUCAUGCACAAUCUAUCCAUUUCUUUGGAAAAAAAUUAUUUAACUUUUAUAUCGGAGAACUAAAUAUGUAAGAAGCUGGAAAUAAAAUAGUUCAUCUUUAUGUACUCAAACCUAAAGAAAAUUUGAUCUCGUCUAUUAUAAGACAUCAAACUUCUAUCUUUGUAUUAGUUGCAGCUAAUUAUAGUCGCCAUCAAUCGUAUCUCAUUAUUUAUUAAAGCAUCAGUUCUCCUGAUCAAUUGUCAAAUCACUAUAUUUUUAGCAGCAAAUGUGCGCCAUUUGAUUCAUUCAUUUGUAUGAGAUUAAAUAAUUCAUUCA
rnacentral:lncRNA from 1 species